GAGAACGUAGUGUAAUGGCGGCACACGUGCUUUGGGAGCAUGGAGAGCGGUUCGAAUCCGACGUUUUCG
rnacentral:tRNA from 1 species